rnacentral:SRP_RNA from 1 species
GGUCAAGUCCUGUGCAACGAGAAGCUUUCGAACCCCGCCAGGUCCGGAAGGAAGCAACGGUAGGAAGUCCCUCUCGUGUGACCCAGGUAAGCUUGACCUCU